AGAGUUUGUUCCUGGCUCAGGAUGAACGCUGGCGGCGUGCCUAACACAUGCAAGUCGAGCGAGAUACUUAUGAACAGAGAUUCGUCAACGGGAAUAAGUGGAAAGCGGCGGACGGGUGAGUAACGCGUAGGCAACCUGCCCCUUACACAGGGAUAGCCAUUGGAAACGAUGAUUAAAACCUGAUGACACCUGAGGAUGACAUCUUCCGCGGGUCAAAGAUUUAUCGGUAAGGGAUGGGCCUGCGUCUGAUUAGAUAGUUGGUGAGGUAACGGCCCACCAAGUCAACGAUCAGUAGCCGACCUGAGAGGGUGAUCGGCCACAUUGGAACUGAGACACGGCCCAGACUCCUACGGGAGGCAGCAGUGGGGGAUAUUGCACAAUGGAGGAAACUCUGAUGCAGCAACGCCGCGUGAGGGAAGAAGGUCUUCGGAUUGUAAACCUCUGUUUUCGGUGAAGAAGAAUGACGGUAGCCGAAGAGGAAGCCACGGCUAACUACGUGCCAGCAGCCGCGGUAAUACGUAGGUGGCAAGCGUUGUCCGGAAUUACUGGGUGUAAAGGGUGCGCAGGCGGGACGGCAAGUUGGAUGUGAAAUACCGGGGCUUAACUCCGGAGCUGCAUCCAAAACUGUUGUUCUUGAGUGGAGUAGAGGUAAGCGGAAUUCCGAGUGUAGCGGUGAAAUGCGUAGAUAUUCGGAGGAACACCAGUGGCGAAGGCGGCUUACUGGGCUCUAACUGACGCUGAGGCACGAAAGCAUGGGUAGCAAACAGGAUUAGAUACCCUGGUAGUCCAUGCUGUAAACGAUGAAUGCUAGGUGUGGGGGGACUGACCCCUUCCGUGCCGGAGUUAACACAAUAAGCAUUCCACCUGGGGAGUACGGCCGCAAGAUUAAAACUCAAAGGAAUUGACGGGGACCCGCACAAGCAGCGGAGCAUGUGGUUUAAUUCGAAGCAACGCGAAGAACCUUACCUAGACUUGACAUGUCCUGAAUUACCAGUAAUGUGGGAAGUUCCUUCGGGAACAGGAACACAGGUGGUGCAUGGUUGUCGUCAGCUCGUGUCGUGAGAUGUUGGGUUAAGUCCCGCAACGAGCGCAACCCUUGCUGUCAGUUGCCAUCAUUGAGUUGGGCACUCUGACGGGACUGCCGGGGAUAACCCGGAGGAAGGCGGGGAUGACGUCAAAUCAUCAUGCCCCUUAUGUUCUGGGCGACACACGUGCUACAAUGGCCAGCACAAAGGGAUGCGAAGGAGCGAUCUGGAGCGAACCCCAAAAGCUGGUCCCAGUUCGGACUGCAGGCUGAAACCCGCCUGCACGAAGUUGGAGUUGUUAGUAAUCGCGGAUCAGAAUGCCGCGGUGAAUGCGAAGCCGGGUCUUGUACUCACCGCCCGUCA
rnacentral:rRNA from 1 species